rnacentral:rRNA from 1 species
UACGUAGGGUGCAAGCGUUGUCCGGCAUUCUUGGGCGUAAAGAGCUCGUAGGCGGUUUGUUGCGUCGGCUGUGAAAUCCCGAGGCUCAACCUCGGGUCUGCAGUCGAUACGAGCAAACUAGAGUGUUGCAGGGGAGACUGGAAUUCCUGGUGUAGCGGUGAAAUGCGCAGAUAUCAGGAGGAACACCGGUGGCGAAGGCGGGUCUCUGGGCAACAACUGACGCUGAGGAGCGAAAGCGUGGGGAGCGAACAGG